UUUUUGUGGGAGCAAACAGCUUUACAUUCAACAUGUGUUCCCAAAAUGAAGAGAUAGAUUUAUUUUUACUUUACAAUAAGUUCCUAAGCUUACCACAUAAGUGACCUGAUGGGGGAAAGCCUUUUAAAGUUUAUUCAAGGAAGAAAGGGAAGACCUAAGUAAACUUUAAGUAGGAUUAAUAUUAAUUAGAAUUGAAUAGGGAUUGGUAUUUGUUGGAGUCUAAUUAGGAUUAGUUAGUUGAGUUAUAAUAUAAUUAGAAUUUGAGUCAUGAUAGGUUAUUAGAGUCCUAGUAGAAUAGGUUAUUAGAGUCCUAGUAGACUUUGGAUUUCUUAGAAAAGCCUAUAAAUAGGCUAAUCAAUGUAAAUCAAAGGAAUGAAUUUUGAUGAAUAAUAUUAUACUUUCUUUCAUUGCAAGGUUGCAACCCUUAAUGGUGAGACUCCAUUGAUUUUCUUCUAGGUGAGACUCCUAGAAGGCCUUAGUGAGACUCUAAGGUUUUCCAUCUUUUCUUCAUUGUUUUUUCUUUCUCUCUAUUUCUUAUCUUAUAAUUUUCUCUACCAUAAAGUUUAUUCCUUGUUUCUCUCCUUACACCCUAAAAAUAAAACCCUAGCCCACAUACCCUUGAGUGUAGGCAACCAUCCUAGGGUUGUCCUACAUCAUGACCUUUUCAUGUAACACUGUUGUGGAGAUCAAUCGUUUUACCACAGGGUUUACAAAACUUCAAAAAUUUAAACAUGUUCCAAUGCCCUGAUAUUUGGGGGUUGGAAAGAUUUGACACCUACAUGUGUGUACUCACACCUAAACACUGAGUGUCAGUUCAUGUAAUCUGGUUUGAAAAUUAACCUACAAAUACUCGUGAUUGUUUAGAACCAUUUGAGAAGCAGAUGUGAUUGUUUGUGAGCUGGCCAAUUCAACCCCCCAUUCCACUAGUUCUGAUGCAUACUGCACAAAAAGACUCUAGAUAAUGAAGCCUUGUCUAAGUCUCAAAAUUACCUUUUUCCCUUUUCUUCUCCAUGGUUGACUUUUGAAACUGAACCCAUUCAAUUGUUGUUCUCUUGCAGUUCUUAUCUUUUUGUUUUUCUUUACUUUUUCCCUUUCCUAUUGUUUCCAAACUUCUUUGUUUUUUGUCAUUGGUGGGGUAGUGCUAUAGUUUUACUCAAACUGAUAAAUCUGAAGAUGCCUUUUUUUUUUUUUUUUUUGAUAGGAAACAACACAUAUAUAUUUUGAUAGAAAAAGAAGUAUAAUAGAAGGAUAAGGAAUCCUCCCACCAAAGAUGAAACUAAACAACACAAAAAGAUAACAAGACACUACACUAUGUAAACUAUGAAUAAGCUCCCUUGACUAGACCGUCUCGUUGGAACUACACACUGCUAGCUAAUCUAGUUGUAACACGUUAAGGGGAAUGCCCUUAAAAACCGCGGAACAAAAAGCCCAAAGAGAAGCAAGGAAA
rnacentral:lncRNA from 1 species